UCCUACGGGAGGCAGCAGUGGGGAAUUUUCCGCAAUGGACGCAAGUCUGACGGAGCGACGCUGCGUGAAGGAUGACGGCCCGCGGGUUGUAAACUUCUUUUCUCGAAGAAGAAACAAAUGACGGUAUUCGAGGAAUAAGCAUCGGCUAACUCCGUGCCAGCAGCCGCGGUAAUACGGAGGAUCCAAGCGUUAUCCGGAUUCAUUGGGUUUAAAGGGUCCGUAGGCGGAUCUUUAAGUCAGUGGUGAAAGCCGACAGCUUAACUGUCGAACUGCCAUUGAUACUGGAGAUCUUGAGUACAAAUGAAGUAGGCGGAAUGAGUCAUGUAGCGGUGAAAUGCAUAGAUAUGACUCAGAACACCGAUUGCGAAGGCAGCUUACUAACAUGUAACUGACGCUGAGGGACGAAAGCGUGGGGAGCGAACAGGAUUAGAUACCCUGGUAGUCCACGCCGUAAACGAUCAUCACUCGCUGUUGGCGAUAUACUGUCAGCGGCCAAGCGAAAGUAUUAAGUGAUGCACCUGGGGAGUACGCCGGCAACGGUGAAACUCAAAGGAAUUGACGA
rnacentral:rRNA from 1 species